rnacentral:rRNA from 1 species
GACGAACGCUGGCGGCGUGCUUAACACAUGCAAGUCGAACGAAGAGCGAUGGACGCUUGCUUCUAUCAAUCUUAGUGGCGAACGGGUGAGUAACGCGUAAUCAACCUGCCCUUCAGAGGGGGACAACAGUUGGAAACGACUGCUAAUACCGCAUACGAUCUAAUCUCGGCAUCGAGGAUAGAUGAAAGGUGGCCUCUACAUGUAAGCUAUCACUGAAGGAGGGGAUUGCGUCUGAUUAGCUAGUUGGAGGGGUAACGGCCCACCAAGGCGAUGAUCAGUAGCCGGUCUGAGAGGAUGAACGGCCACAUUGGGACUGAGACACGGCCCAGACUCCUACGGGAGGCAGAAGUGGGGAAUCUUCCGCAAUGGACGAAAGUCUGACGGAGCAACGCCGCGUGAGUGAUGACGGCCUUCGGGUUGUAAAGCUCUGUUAAUCGGGACGAAAGGCCUUCUUGCGAAUAGUGAGAAGGAUUGACGGUACCGGAAUAGAAAGCCACGGCUAACUACGUG